rnacentral:rRNA from 1 species
CCUACGGGUGGCAGCAGUGGGGGAUAUUACACAAUGGGGGAAACCCUGAUGCAGCGACGCCGCGUGGGCGAAGAAGUAUUUCGGUAUGUAAAGCCCUAUCAGCAGGGAAGAAGAAAUGACGGUACCUGAGUAAGAAGCACCGGCUAAAUACGUGCCAGCAGCCGCGGUAAUACGUAUGGUGCAAGCGUUAUCCGGAUUUACUGGGUGAAAAGGGAGCGCAGGCGGCACGGCAAGCCUGAUGUGAAAGCCCGCGGCCCAACCGCGGGACUGCAGUGGGAACUGCCGGGCUGGAGUGCCGGAGAGGUAGGCGGAAUGCCUAGUGUAGCGGUGAAAUGCGUAGAUAUUAGGAGGAACACCGGUGGCGAAGGCGGCCUGCUGGACUGCAACUGACGUUGAGGCCCGAAAGCGUGGGGAGCAAACAGGAUUAGAGACCCCUGUAGUC